CCUACGGGUGGCAGCAGUGGGGAAUAUUGGACAAUGGGGGGAACCCUGAUCCAGCGACGCCGCGUGAGUGAAGAAGUACUUCGGUAUGUAAAGCUCUAUCAGCAGGGAAGAAAGAAAUGACGGUACCUGACUAAGAAGCCCCGGCUAACUACGUGCCAGCAGCCGCGGUAAUCCGUAGGGGGCAAGCGUUAGCCGGAUUUACUGGGUGUAAAGGUAGCGUAGACGGCGAUGCAAGUCUGAAGUGAAAGGCGGGGGCGCAACCCCCGGACUGCAUUGGAAACUGGAUGGCUGGAGUGCAGGAGAGGUAGGUGGAAUUCCUAGUGUAGCGGUGAAAUGCGUAGAUAUUAGGAGGAACACCAGUGGCGAAGGCGGCUUACUGGACUGUAACUGACGUUGAGGCUCGAAAGCGUGGGGAGCAAACAGGAUUAGAUACCCUUGUAGUC
rnacentral:rRNA from 1 species